UUAAAUAGCCGCAAUUCGUGCUAAGGUAGCAUAAUCAUUUGCCUUUCAAAUAAAGGCUAGAACAAAAGAUUUAACAUUUAAUAAAAUUUAUUAAUUUAAAAAUUUUAAAUUACAUUUUAUGUAAAAAUGCAUCAAUCAAACAAAAAGACGACAAGACCCUAUUGAAUUUAACUUUAGUUAAACUGGGGUAGUAAAUUAAUUAUAAUUUUAAUUUUUUUGUUUAAACAAAAAUCCAAUAAAAUUGAUCAAUCCAAUUACCAUAGGGAUAACAGCGCAAUUAUAUUUUAUAGAUCUUAUUAAAAAUAUAGAUUACGACCUCGAUGUUGAAUUAAUAACCUAAAUUAAGCAAACUUAAAAAAAGGAAGUCUGUUCGACUUUUAAAAAAUUACAUGAUUUGAGUUCAGACCGGUGUAAGCCAGGUCGGUUUCCAUCUUUUAAAAAAACUUUUACAGUACGAAAGGACCUAAAAAAUUAAUAUUAUUAAUUAUUUGGCAGAAAAAUGCAUUAGAAUUAGAAUCUAAGUAAUCUAAA
rnacentral:rRNA from 1 species